rnacentral:lncRNA from 1 species
CUUCUUCUGACAGUCACUGUACCCCACCAUCUGGCCUAGGACAAGAAUCAGGUAUUUGUGGUCUGUGAGGACAAAGAACCUAGUUUUACAUGGAAGAAACUGCUUAGAAGUGGAAAAAAAAAUGAAGAAAGCUGAGGAAACUAACAUUCCCAAGCCCUGCUGGUACAUACGUAUCCUACCCCCUCCAGAUUUGCAUUUCAAAGCCUCCCUGUGUUUUGAUUUUUUUUUUUUUUUUGGCUUUUCUUCUUGCCUUAUCCAUUGUAACUUGUCUUAAUACCUUACCUCAGGUGAGCUCAGAUUGGCAGAGUGAAUUUUAACCAAAACAUGAAUUAUCAUUUGAAAAACAUUGGUGUGUCUUUUAUAUCUAUGACCCCUCAUGAAAGUGAGUUGAGCUUUUACAAGAUAACACAAGUCAUAUACAAUCAGUAUGAGCCAAAGAAUCUUCUCAUUCACCAGGACUAAAAUUAGAGUCAGGAGUGACCACAAAAGUCUGCAGAUGGAGCAAUAAGAAGGAGUCCAGAGGAGGCCUGGAAAGAGGUAGGGAUGUUUUAAAAUAUUAUAAACAGUUAUCCUAUUGUUUACAGAAUAAAAUUAACCCAAUGACACAUUCUAAGUAUGGCUUCAGCUCUUCCACCAGCCAGAGCUAAAGACAUUGUAAAUAAGAUGUGUGCUCAGCUGCAGUGGAUCAGGACCUGUCGUAGUCGUUUGGGGGAAGAUUACAAGAGACUUCAUUCCCUGUGUAUAAACAGAGCAUCCUGCCAACAGUUCAACCACCUGCUCUUUGUCACUGGAACUGAGAAGCUGCAGAUUCUGGUGGCUAGGAUUCAAGCUACUGGAACUGCCUCGUAGCCCCUCCAGUACACAGUUGUAUAUUCUUCGUUGUGGGUCCUUCUAGUUGUGGUAUGUGGGACGCUGCCUCAGCGUGGUUUGAUGAGCAGUGCCAUGUCCGCGCCCAGGAUUCGAACCAACGAAAGACUGGGCCGCCUGCAGCGGAGCGUGCGAACUUAACCACUCGGCCACGGGGCCAGCCCCGUGAGAUGCUGCUUUUCUUAUAAGGUCCCAUGUGAACUUGGGCUGCUAGUCCAUGGAGCAGUUGUUGGGUAGAAAGGAUAAUGAACAGAAUCUUGAGAAGAGAGUUCCAGGAAGAGAAAACAGCAAUUGCAUAGGUGCUGAGAACCCAGAAAGAAAAAGGGAAAAGUUUUCCUCCUCUGUAAGAUACAUCAUUUUCCUCUUGCAAAAAUGAAACUAAUGUUGAGAUGAGGAAGAUACGAUCAGUAGGACAGUAAAAUACCACUUUACCGAGUACGGAGAGUAUGGGUUCCUGAGUCAGACUGGCUGGUCUGACCUCUACUAGUCCUGAGGCCCCGGGCUGGUUACCCAAGCUGUUUGAACUCUUAGCAAGAGCCUGGCACAUAGUAAGUGCUUAGUAAAUAUUAGCUUCUACUAUUCUUAGUAAUUUGGGGCAGGAAAGGCAAACCAGAACUAUUUUUCUUCACUUGAACAGGAAGCUAGGAAAAAAUAAUUUUCAAAACAGUGCUAGAUUGUAACUCCCAAAGCACAAGCAACAAAAGAAAAAAUAGAUAAAUUGACAUCAUCAAAAUUAAAAACUAUGCUUCAAAGGAUAUCAUCAAGAGAGUGAAAAGACAAGCCACAGAAUGAGAGAAAAUCUUUUCAAACCAAAUGUCUAAUAAGAGACACAUCUAAAAUAUAUAAAGAAUGCUUACAAUUUAAUAAUAAAAAAGGCAACCUAAUUUAAAAACUGGACAAAGGACCUAAAUGGCCCUUUCUCUGAAGGGGAUAUACAUACCCAUGACCAAUAAACACAUGAAAAGAUGCUCAACAUCUUCAGCAAUCAGGGAAAUGCAAAUUGAACCUACAAUGGGAUACCACUUCACACACGCUAGGAUGGCUAUAAUGAAAAUGACAACUGACAGGUGUUGGAUGUGGAGAAAUUGAGAUAUUUACACACUGCUUGUAGGAAUGUAAAACAGUACAGCUACUUUGGAAUACAGUCUGGCAGUUUCUGCAAAGGUUAAACAUAGAGUUACCACGUGACGCAGCAAUUCUACUUCUAGACGUAUACCCAAGAGAAAUGAAAAUAUAUGUCCACACAACAAGUUUACAUGGAUGUUCAUAGCUGCAUUAUACAUAAUAGCCAAAAAGUCCCAAACAACCCAAAUGUUCAUCAACUGAUGAAUGAGUAAAGAAAAUGUGGUCUAUCCAUACAAUGAAAUAUCAUUUGGCAAUAAAAAGAAAUGAGGCACUGAUAUAUGUUGCAACAUGGGUGAGCUCUGAAAACAUUAUGCUUAGUGAAAGAAACCAAACACAAAAAGACCACAGUUUGUAAAAAUCUGUUUACGCAAAAUGUCCAGAAUAGGCAAAUCUAAUAGAGACAGUAGAUUAGUGGUUGCCAGAGGCUGGGGGUGUUUGAGGAGGAAUAAAG